rnacentral:rRNA from 1 species
CUACCAUGGCAGUCACGGGUAACGGAGAAUUAGGGUUCGAUUCCGGAGAAGGAGCCUGAGAAACGGCUACUACAACUACGGUUUGGCAGCAGGGAAGAAAAUUGGCCAAUCCUAAUUCAGGGAGCCAGUGACAAGAAAUAGCAAACCGGGAAACUCAGUUUCUACGGUAUUGAAAUGAGAACAGUGUUAAUCUCUUAGCGAGGAACAAUUGGAGGGCAAGCCUGGUGCCAGCAGCCGCGGUAAUUCCAGCUCCAAUAGCGUAUAUUAAAGUUGUUGCAGUUAAAAAGCUCGUAGUUGAACUUCUGCCCAGGACUAUUUCGAUUCGUCGGGUAGUGCUGGGCAUACGUCUGCAAGCUAAAAUCGGCCUUUACUGGUUCGACUUAGUAAGUAGACAUUUUACUGUGAAAAAAUUAGAGUGUUUCAGGCAGGUUUUAGCCCGUAUACAUUAGCAUGGAAUAAUGGAAUAGGACUGAGUCCAUUUUAUUGGUUCUUGGAUUUAGUAAUGAUUAAUAGGGACAGUUGGGGGCAUUAGUAUUUAAUAGUCAGAGGUGAAAUUCUUGGAUUUAUUAAGGACUAACUAAUGCGAAAGCAUUUGCCAAAGAUGUUUUCAUUAAUCAAGAACGAAAGUUAGGGGAUC